GAUAUAUGGCGAGACAUGCAAGGUCUUGGCAUUGUUUGGUAGGGUUCUACAAAUUUUGUUCAGCGUUUUGUCCUCUGUGUGGGAUUUCGAUCACAUUUUGCAGGAGUUUAGGUCCUACUGCAGCGGGGGUCUCUUGCAAGGACACUGCCUGGUGGUGUUUUGCCCAGCCUCCCACUGCGGCCGGAGGGUCGUGGUGAGCUGGUUGGAGGAUGAGAUAAGAUCGUGCGGAGGCGGCAAGGAAAGGGCGGCAAGUCGUAUGUUUACCUGAGCGUGAUCGAGGGGCAUUGCCCAUGUGGCGAUGUUGACAGUGGCGAGACAGGGGAGGUGGAUCCGGGGUCAUGGUGAUCUGCUCCAGCAUGCUAUUAGCUCCAGAGCGUUAUCUGAAUAUGCACGUGCCAGGUCAAACAACUGUUGUUGCUGGGUCUCUUGAUCGUCUCUAUGUAUGAGGGCCUUUAGCUUCAGGACAAACGGUUGUUGCUGCGGGGUCUCUCGGUUGUCUCGGUGUACGACGAUCUCCAGAUGAUGGCAAAGCCAAGGAUGAGGAUCAUGAUUCACCACCUUCUUUGGAUGAUCAAAGGUGAGGGCCAUGCAUGUUCAUAUGCUGGUGGCGCUUGAAAAUCGAUUCUUGC